UACGUAGGGGGCAAGCGUUGUCCGGAUUUAUUGGGCGUAAAGAGCGUGUAGGCGGUUUGGUAGGUCCGUUGUGAAAACUCGAGGCUCAACCUCGAGACGCCGAUGGAAACCAUCAGACUAGAGUCCGGAAGAGGAGAGUGGAAUUCCUGGUGUAGCGGUGGAAUGCGCAGAUAUCAGGAGGAACACCGAUGGCGAAGGCAGGUCACUGGGCCGCAACUGACGCUGAGGAGCGAAAGCAUGGGGAGCGAACAGG
rnacentral:rRNA from 1 species